rnacentral:rRNA from 1 species
UCAGAGGUGAAAUCCCAGAGCUUAACUCUGGAACUGCCAUUGAAACUGUUCGACUAUGAGUAUGAUAGAGGUAAGCGGAAUUUCUAGUGUAGCGGUGAAAUUGCGUAGAUAUUACAAAGAACACCCAUUGCGAAGGCAGCUUUCUGGAUCAUUACUGACACUGAGGAACGAAAGCGUGGGUAGCGAAUAGGAUUAGAUACCCUCGUAGUCCAUGCCGUAAACGAUGUGUGCUAGACGUUGGAAAUUUAUUUUCGGUGUCGCACGAAAAACGAUAAACACACCUCCUGGGUAGUACGACCGCUCGGAAUGAAACUCACAUGA